rnacentral:snoRNA from 1 species
UCCUCUUCAAUGAUGAAGCAUUUUUCGGAUGUAAACGCCGUCAGGCGACUUUCCAAGAGCGCAUAUAACCAUGUGGAUACCUCCGUUGCCUUCCUUCUGAUUCCCCAAC